GUAAAGGGCGCGUAGGCGGCAUAUUAAGUUAGAUGUGAAAUCCCCGGGCUUAACCUGGGUGUUGCAUUUAAAACUGAUAAGCUUGAGUGCAGGAGAGGGAAGCGGAAUUCCUAGUGUAGCGGUGGAAUGCGUAGAUAUCAGGAGGAACACCAGUGGCGAAGGCGGCUUUCUGGACUGUAACUGACGCUGAGGCGCGAGAGCGUGGGGAGCAAACAGGAUUAGAUACCCUGGUAGUCCACGCCGUAAACGAUGGAUACUAGGUGUAGAGGGUAUCGACCCCCUC
rnacentral:rRNA from 1 species